UGGGAAGCAAAUGGUAAGCAACCUCCACUUUCGAUCGAGAGGUUGUGAGUUCGAGUCUCCCCAAUAGCAAGGUGGGAAGUUUUUGGAGGGAAGGAUGCCGGGGGUCUAUUUGGAAACAGCCUCUCUACCCCAGGGUAGGGGAAAAGUCUGCGUAUAUACUACCCUCCUCAGACCCCAUUAAAUGAGAUUAUACUGAAUGUUAUUGAUGUUGUUAAAUGGGAAUUAGAUUUACGACUAGCUCUUUGUAUUGUUCUGAUCCUUGAACUCCUCGUAUAUUUAUUAUAUAGUAGAAGCUAGCUAGAAGUAAUGAAAAUCACAUCCACAGAAAUAGUUAUAAUACUUUAAUUUUGAAGAAAGCACAUUAAUUGAGAUAGAAGAUGGCCAAGCCAAAUGUGUUCGUCCCCUUGUUUUUCAUGAUCCUCUCACUUCUUUUCUCCAUCAAUUUGGCUGAAAGCAGAUUCACUUCUCCUGGUAAGAAUAAUUGACUUUCUCUCACUCACUUUCAGCUUUAUGGACUGCUGUUCACAAAUAUUGUAAUAACAUAUUAUCAGGCAUGUUGGGAAACGUUUUCAAUUCCACGUGUGUAUUGAUAGACUAUAGCUUUGGCUCGAUUGUGUGGGUGUAUCUAAUAAUAUAAGAUUGUGCAUAUACUAAUUUCAAAUCAUGUAUACGGAAAUGUCCCAUAUAAGUUUUAAUUUACUAAUCUUUAGUUAAUAUUCCAAAAAUCAAAACAAACAAGGAAAUUUUUAAUGGGUAUAGUCAAAAUUCAUUGAAAAUGUAUAGAUAAGUCAAUAUAAAAAUUUGAGGAAGAUUGGAGUUGAUUUGGACUAGUUUUGUAUCAAAAUUCAUAAUUAAAUCGAUGCCAAAAAAUCUUUUGUGACACAUGUAUCAAACAUGUAUCACGCAUGUAUCUCAUACACAGAUAUACAUGGAUAUACAUGUGAUACACAAUCG
rnacentral:lncRNA from 1 species